rnacentral:lncRNA from 12 species
GGGGGGGGGGGGGGGGGGGGGGGGGGGGGGGGGGGGGGGGGGGGGGGGGGGGGGGGGGGGGGGAGCCCUGCAGAGGAGCAGUUCUCCCUGGUAUCCCAAGGCACGGGGGGGCUGUGGAUGCGCUGCAACCUUUGCACUGGUGCCUGCAGCAGGAAACGGAGCCGCCUUCCCCUGCGCGAGGCUGGGUUUCCCUGUCCCUGCGUUGCAGGGAUGCUGCAGAGUGUCCCCUCAAGGGCUGGGGACACCCCAGCAGCCCUCUGGGUCCACCAGCUGGGCACCGACAGCAGCUAAAGUAAUAAUAAGGAGUAUGUAUAUAUUAAAAAUCACAGAAUGGUUUGGGUUUGGGAUCAUGAAGGUCCUUCAGUUCAGGGACACCUUCCACUAGACCAGGCUGCUCAGAGCCUCAUCCAGCUUCACCUUGCACACUUCAGGGAUCCAAGGGCAGUCACGGCUUUUCUGGGCAACCUGUGCCAGUCCCUCAUUACCCUCACAGUAAAGAAUUUCUGCCUUAUAUCUAAGCUAAACAUGCUCUCUGUCAGUUUGAAGCCAUUCUCCCCUGUCCUGUUACUCCAGGCGCUUGUAAAUAGUGUUUCUCCAUCUUUUUUUGUAGCUCCUUUCAGGUAUUGGAAGGCUGCAAUUAGGUCACCCUGAAGCUUCUCUUUUCCAGGCUGAACAAUCUCAAUUCUCUCAGCCUUUGGUCAUAGGAGAGGUGCUUCAUCCCUCUGAUCACCCUGGUGGCUUCCCUCUAGUACGUCCAUGUCCCAUACAUUUAUGCAGCCCUGUGAUACCAUUUCAACUCUUCACUCAGAAUACACCUGCACUUCUCUUGUCUCUGGUCAGUGUGGAAGUGAGGCUCGGGAAACUUCCCUUUGGCACACCAAGGCUUAAGGAUGUUGUUUAGGAUUGAACCUCAGCCAAGAGACUCCUCUCAAGGUCAGAUGUGGAACAGCAGAUGCACAGAGUUCACACAGGGAGAUCUUCAGCCUCCACACAGCAGAUGACCAAAAUGUUUGCACACUUGGAGUCAAAUUUCAAUCUAGUCUCAAAAGUAUCCUGCAAGGUAAAGCAUUUAUUCUACCAAAAUUUGACUGAAGAGGACCAAAAUCCUCUGGGUCUGAGUGUUCAGCUAAUGUUACUGCUGGCACCAGGAUCAGGCAGGCAGGGACCUUCCUGGGCCAGAACCAGCUGGACUCCAGAUGCCCACAGACCAACACUUGGAAAUGGCACUUUCCCACCAAUACAAUCCUCACAGACAAAAGGCACAAAAGGUAAGGAGAAGAUGUAACUUCCCUCACUUUACUUGCUUUACAGCUGGGAGGGCAAAAAGGCUACAAGGAUGAAGUGUCUUGCCCCUGGUGGUGAUGAGGCAAGCCUGUGACACAGCUGGGAAAUACCUUUGUGUGUCCUGAGCUCAGGCAAAUUGCUUUAACUCCAUCCUGCACGCUGAAAUUAGGUGAUUAAUGUUAAUCUUACAGCUGGUAUAAAUACAGUUAUGUACACACUGGGUUUAAUACAGUUUAUACAAGAGGCAGCUCUUACAUGUGAUUUUUCUAUCAGGCUGGACUUUCUGUAAGAUUAGUACUUGUAGUUUAAUGUUAUCCUCCCACUCCCAGAUAAAAUGUGGACAGGGAGCAGGUCAAACAGAGGCAGCUGCUUUCUGGUACUCCCAAGCUUUGCCACUCUUUGCCAGCAGUUUCUGUUGAAAGUGUGCAUUGCUUCUCACUGCUCCCUGAAACAUCCUACACACUGUAGUAGCUCAUGUGUUGCUUUGUUGUUUGGGCUUUUUUGGGCCAUACUUUAUCAGGGAAGCUGAGCAGUGUAAGAUCAGUCAGAAGCUGCCAGCUUCCAAAGUAGAAAAAUAAAUGCUAAGGAGACUUCAGAUACGAGAGCAGAGGUGGGAGGGAGGCAUGUCCAUGAUCCAUUUGACAGGGGGUUUCAUUCCUGUGAAAUUAUCCUUCCCCUUCUCCUUCUGUGGGAUCUUUUCUCUUUGGGAUCUGUGCAAAAAAGUUGGGGAAAUUCUGCCAGCCUGAGGGGAGUGGUGGGAAAACAGGCCCUGUCCAAUGAGUUUGGGAACCUUCCCAUGGACAGCCCAGGAGACUGAAGGCUGUUUCCCUCAUCCUUACGGCUGCUGGGGUUAAUGAGGUGUUCCCACUUGGGAAAGACCUGCCAGUUAUCCUUCAGCCAGUGCAGGGGCUGGAUGUCUGUCCCCAUGCUGGGCUGGAGGGACAAUCUGUGAGGGCAGGAAGGGAAUUCAGCCUUGUUCCUUUAGGACUGGCUGUCCCAAGUGUCCUAUUGCAUUUUACAGGAGUGCCAUAGGAUGCCGUGGACACGUGUCCAGCAGAAAGCAUCCUGAGACAAUGGAACUCACUGCACACCUCUGUUCUCUGCUGGAAGCAUCCUGAGACAAUGGAACUCACUGCACACCUCUGUUCUCUGCUGGAAGCAUCCUGAGACAAUGGAACUCACUGCACACCUCUGUUCUCUGCUGGAAGCAUCCUGAGACAAUGGAACUCACUGCACACCUCUGUUCUCUGCUGGAAGCAUCCUGAGACAGUGGA